rnacentral:tRNA from 1 species
GGUGGAGUGGAAAAGGCUUUAUUUAAAAUAAUGUAGUGGUCUCAAGUUCAAGUCUUGACUCCACCA